CCCACUAAAUAAAUGAGAGGUACCUGGGUGGCCCAGGUUAUGCUCUCUGGGCUUUGCGCUCACAGCUUGGAGCCUGGAGCCUGCUUCGGUUUCUGUGUUUCCCUCUCUCUCUGCCACUCCCCUGCUUGCGUGCUCUCUCUCUGUCUCUCAAAAGUGAAUAAACAUUAAAAAAAACUAACUAAAUAAAAAUAAAAUACUGGCAAACUAUGUUCUUCCCGCAGAAUAUACAGAAAUUAAUUUCUGAAGAUUUUUAUAAAUAUUUCAAUCUUUUCUUCAGUCCAUUCAGACUUAAGAAGGCAGAUAGCUUUAAGAACAGUCCAUAAAAGCUCAAAACUUUGAGUCCAAUAAGAGGAGGCCUUCCUUUGCAAUUUCAGAGGGUAACACUCACCCUAUCAGCUGAAGAAGAUCUUCCUGCGGCAGGAAUAACACCACCUGUGGGUGAUGGACCGCACCUGGUGGGGGGAGGGGCCUAGAUUUCGAAACAAAGAUGGCGAGACGCUGGAGCCGAGCAGAGCGGGAGUUAGCCUGCCGGCCGGCAGCCUCUGAGUGUGUGUUAAAUUAGACGCCCUGGCACCUCAGACCCACGGUUUGCGAUUAGAAAAUGCGCAUCUUUCACAGAGAGUCUCGGCACUUCCGGACCGGCCGCCUCUGCUGAGCCCUGGGACGGGACCACAUGCAUCCAGCUUCCUGUUUGAUCUCUUGGAGAGCCCUGGCAGAAGAUCAGACGGAGGUUUUUGCACAGUCCUUGGGAAUAAAGUCACUUCCUCCAUUCUUACUCUCAGAGCUUCCCUUGUCUCCUCCCCAAAUCACCACUGCCUGGAGAAUAGGUGAACCUGAAGAAAGAGCAAACUUCCAGUAAAGCUCUCUAAUUGAAUCUUUGGGUCAGAGUUUGAUGAGAGGAGGCAAUGACCACAGAUUGUAAAAUAAUAAUAAUAAUAAUAAUAAUAAAUAUACA